GACGAACGCUGGCGGCGUGCUUAACACAUGCAAGUCGAACGGACAGACCCUAAUUUUGUGGGGUGCUCGAGUGGCGAACGCGUGAGUGACACAUGUGUAACCUGUCCCUGACUUUGGGAUAAAUUCACGAAACUCGGGCUAUUACACGAUAGGAGCUCCUGAUGCAUGGUGUGCGUUGGAAAGUUACGGCCGUUGGAGAUGGACUCGCGGCUUCUCAGCUUGUUGGUCGAGUAGUGGCUUACCAAGCAUUUGACGGGUAGCCGGCCUGAGAGCGUGACCGGCCACAUUGGGACUGAGAUACGGCCCAGACUCCGACGGGAGGCAACAGUGGGGAAUAUUGCACAAUUGACGUAAGCCUGAUGCAGCAACUCCGCGUGCGGGAUGGCCGCCUACGAGUUGUAAACAUCUUUGGCCUGAAACGAUACGCGUUUGACGGUAACGGGUAAAGAAGCACCGGCUAACUACGUG
rnacentral:rRNA from 1 species